CUAGUGCCCUUGGUGGAAGCCACUUGCGGUAUAUCUGGUCUAGCCACAGCCUAUAGAGAGAGAGAGAGAGAGAGUCUCAAAUCUUUUUAUAUUCUGUGAGGUCACAGAUCUCUUUGCAGAGAUGACUGUUCCUCUGCCAGGAACUUCAGAAUGCUCUAAACUAUUCACCUAAUUUAAAUUGGUCUUUGACCUAAUAACUAAUCAAAAAGCAUAUACAUGUACACCCUUACAGAUGUUAGAAAAAUCAAUUAACCUUUUGAGGCUAGUAUUAACUUCAUGUAGUACAAGAUAUUAAAAGAAUAGAAAAUCUCCA
rnacentral:lncRNA from 1 species